rnacentral:lncRNA from 1 species
CAGAUCCAAUCACCCAGCUUCCUACUCAGCCAGUUCAGGUUUAGAACCCAGUGUGGUGGGGCACACCUGUAAUUCCAGCACUCUGGAAGGCUGAGGCAGGAGGAUUCCACUUUGGAGCCAGUCCAGUCCGGGCAAUUUAGUGACUUGGUGAGACCCUGUACCAAAAUUAAAAAGGGUUGGAGCUGUAGCUGAAUGCAAAGGUUCUGGGUUCAAACCCCAUAUCGGGAAGGAAAUAAGAAAAAGAAAAAGAAAAAGCAGGAUUACCUCAGCCAGGGAGGAAAUAAAUGACCACGCGCCUUAGCCUAGCCGACUUCCUGUACUAAUCCUGGUUUCCAAACCCAGGGGCGGGCCCGAGGAGGAAACCACGGAGCCGGCGCCAACGCGGUGUUGUGGUGCCCUCCAGCGGCCGCCGCCAGGCACUGACCCUCGCUGCCCGGGAACCCAGGGAGAAAGAGGCAGGCUUGCGCCGCCCCCGGGCUCCUCCUCCCCCAGUUCCACCUGAGUAGACGGCCGCCAGCGAGCGUCUCCGGCGCGUCGCGCUGAGGAUACAUCCGGGCUCUCCCAGCUCCCGGUACCGAGUUACCGAGGGCCAACCCGGAGCGGACGCUGCUCCCAGGACAGGCCCAGCAGACUGGCACACGCACGUGUCGGGUCGCCGGCUCAGGCGCCCUUCCCCCAAAGACCGCAGGCUGCGCCAACACUGACACUCGCGGACGCGCGGUGCCCCCUGAGCGCGGACAGCAACAGCUUUGUUCAGGCGGAAUGCGUUUACCUGGGAUGCUGGGAGGGGUGACAGAUUGUGAGCUGCGGCUGCCCCCCGUGCCCACACCCUCCCAGGCUGGGAGCUCAGUAAGCCGAGCGCGUCGGGCGUCCUUCACAGGUGACGGAGACCCAUCACACACUGAGGACUUCACUCGAGAACACUGCCUGCUGCAGGGAGGGGCUGGAGCAUCCGCCACAGCCCCUGCACGUCGUCACCCAGUUCGUCGUUAUCGUCAAGAGACAGAGCCUCGGGGUCAUGGGACUUAGGCUCUUGUCAAAGCCCAACUGGGAGGGCCGGGGAUUUAGCUCAGUGGUUCCAUCGCUUGCCUUGCAAGCACAAGGACCUGAGUUUGAUCCCUGGUACCAAAAAAAAAAAAAAAAAAAAACCCAACUGGGAGCUUUCUGAAGCUGCUCACAGGCUGUGUUUCUGUUUGUAUGGAAGCCCGGGCAAUGGAACCUGGGUCCUCACACGUGCUAGCUGAGCUAACACCCUCUGCCCUGAGCCACUCAGUUUUGCUUUUGUAAGAGAAGAAACUCCAGGAAUUGCCCACGGUACUCUGAGCUGUCCACUCACUCCUGGGGCUCCUCGGCGCUCCACUCCUGGAACCAGCAAGCCUUGCAUGUGGGGGACACAAUGCCUUUGCCCCCUAAUGUGUCCUCAUGCCCGUGCGACCCAGCCUCAGCCCUGACAG